GAUGAACGCUAGCGAUAGGCCUAACACAUGCAAGUCGAGGGGCAUCACAUGAAGUAGCAAUACGGAUGGUGGCGACCGGCGCACGGGUGAGUAACACGUAUGCAACCUGCCUUCAACAAGGGGAUAACCCGUUGAAAGACGGACUAAUACCCUAUAACACAGGGGUCCCGCAUGGGAAUAUUUGUUAAAGGACAACCGGUUGAAGAUGGGCAUGCGUUCCAUUAGCUAGUUGGCGGGGUAACGGCCCACCAAGGCAACGAUGGAUAGGGGAACUGAGAGGUUUAUCCCCCACACUGGUACUGAGACACGGACCAGACUCCUACGGGAGGCAGCAGUGAGGAAUAUUGGUCAAUGGACGCAAGUCUGAACCAGCCACGUCGCGUGAAGGAAGACGGCCCUACGGGUUGUAAACUUCUUUUAUACGGGGAAUAAAGUGCCCCACGCGUGGGGUUUUGCAUGUACCGUAUGAAU
rnacentral:rRNA from 1 species